rnacentral:rRNA from 1 species
ACAUGCAGUCGAACGAUGAACUGGCGCUUGCGUCGGGGAUUNGUGGCGAACGGGUGAGUAACACGUGAGUAACCUGCCCUUAACUCUGGGAUAAGCCUUGGAAACGAGGUCUAAUACUGGAUAUUGACUUUUCCUCGCAUGGGGUUUGGUUGAAAGAUUUAUUGGUUUUGGAUGGACUCGCGGCCUAUCAGCUUGUUGGUGAGGUAAUGGCUCACCAAGGCGACGACGGGUAGCCGGCCUGAGAGGGUGACCGGCCACACUGGGACUGAGACACGGCCCAGACNCCNACGGGAGGCAGCAGUGGGGAAUAUUGCACAAUGGGCGAAAGCCUGAUGCAGCGACGCCGCGUGANGGAUGACGGCCUUCGGGUUGUAAACCUCUUUCAGUAGGGAACAAGGCCAGCAUUUUUGUUGGUUGAGGGUACUUGCAGAAGAAGCGCCGGCUAACUACGUGCCAGCAGCCGCGGUAAUACGUAGGGCGCAAGCGUUAUCCGGAAUUAUUGGGCGU